rnacentral:rRNA from 1 species
GGAUUGCAGCCUGCAACUCGGCUGCAUGAAGCCGGAAUCGCUAGUAAUCGCGGAUCAGAAUGCCGCGGUGAAUACGUUCCCGGGUCUUGUACACACCGCCCGUCACACCAUGGGAGCCGGGAAUGCCCGAAGUCAGUGGCCUAACCGCAAGGGGGGAGCUGCCGAAGGCAGGCCCGGUGACUGGGGUGAAGUCGUAACAAGGUAGC